rnacentral:tRNA from 4 species
GCGCCUAUAGCUCAGUUGGUAGAGCAGCUGACUCUUAAUCAGCGGGUCCUAGGUUCGAAUCCUAGUGGGCGCACCA